rnacentral:rRNA from 1 species
CACACUAUCAUUAACUGAAUCCAUAGGUUAAUGAGGCGAACCGGGGGAACUGAAACAUCUAAGUACCCCGAGGAAAAGAAAUCAACCGAGAUUCCCCCAGUAGCGGCGAGCGAACGGGGAGCAGCCCAGAGCCUGAAUCAGUGUGUGUGUUAGUGGAAGCGUCUGGAAAGGCGCGCGAUACAGGGUGACAGCCCCGUACACAAAAAUGCACAUGCUGUGAGCUCGAUGAGUAGGGCGGGACACGUGGUAUCCUGUCUGAAUAUGGGGGGACCAUCCUCCAAGGCUAAAUACUCCUGACUGACCGAUAGUGAACCAGUACCGUGAGGGAAAGGCGAAAAGAACCCCGGCGAGGGGAGUGAAAAAGAACCUGAAACCGUGUACGUACAAGCAGUGGGAGCACGCUUAGGCGUGUGACUGCGUACCUUUUGUAUAAUGGGUCAGCGACUUAUAUUCUGUAGCAAGGUUAACCGAAUAGGGGAGCCGAAGGGAAACCGAGUCUUAACUGGGCGUUAAGUUGCAGGGUAUAGACCCGAAACCCGGUGAUCUAGCCAUGGGCAGGUUGAAGGUUGGGUAACACUAACUGGAGGACCGAACCGACUAAUGUUGAAAAAUUAGCGGAUGACUUGUGGCUGGGGGUGAAAGGCCAAUCAAACCGGGAGAUAGCUGGUUCUCCCCGAAAGCUAUUUAGGUAGCGCCUCGUGAAUUCAUCUCCGGGGGUAGAGCACUGUUUCGGCAAGGGGGUCAUCCCGACUUACCAACCCGAUGCAAACUGCGAAUACCGGAGAAUGUUAUCACGGGAGACACACGGCGGGUGCUAACGUCCGUCGUGAAGAGGGAAACAACCCAGACCGCCAGCUAAGGUCCCAAAGUCAUGGUUAAGUGGGAAACGAUGUGGGAAGGCCCAGACAGCCAGGAUGUUGGCUUAGAAGCAGCCAUCAUUUAAAGAAAGCGUAAUAGCUCACUGGUCGAGUCGGCCUGCGCGGAAGAUGUAACGGGGCUAAACCAUGCACCGAAGCUGCGGCAGCGACACUAUGUGUUGUUGGGUAGGGGAGCGUUCUGUAAGCCUGUGAAGGUGUACUGUGAGGUAUGCUGGAGGUAUCAGAAGUGCGAAUGCUGACAUAAGUAACGAUAAAGCGGGUGAAAAGCCCGCUCGCCGGAAGACCAAGGGUUCCUGUCCAACGUUAAUCGGGGCAGGGUGAGUCGACCCCUAAGGCGAGGCCGAAAGGCGUAGUCGAUGGGAAACAGGUUAAUAUUCCUGUACUUGGUGUUACUGCGAAGGGGGGACGGAGAAGGCUAUGUUGGCCGGGCGACGGUUGUCCCGGUUUAAGCGUGUAGGCUGGUUUUCCAGGCAAAUCCGGAAAAUCAAGGCUGAGGCGUGAUGACGAGGCACUACGGUGCUGAAGCAACAAAUGCCCUGCUUCCAGGAAAAGCCUCUAAGCAUCAGGUAACAUCAAAUCGUACCCCAAACCGACACAGGUGGUCAGGUAGAGAAUACCAAGGCGCUUGAGAGAACUCGGGUGAAGGAACUAGGCAAAAUGGUGCCGUAACUUCGGGAGAAGGCACGCUGAUAUGUAGGUGAAGUCCCUCGCGGAUGGAGCUGAAAUCAGUCGAAGAUACCAGCUGGCUGCAACUGUUUAUUAAAAACACAGCACUGUGCAAACACGAAAGUGGACGUAUACGGUGUGACGCCUGCCCGGUGCCGGAAGGUUAAUUGAUGGGGUCAGCGCAAGCGAAGCUCUUGAUCGAAGCCCCGGUAAACGGCGGCCGUAACUAUAACGGUCCUAAGGUAGCGAAAUUCCUUGUCGGGUAAGUUCCGACCUGCACGAAUGGCGUAAUGAUGGCCAGGCUGUCUCCACCCGAGACUCAGUGAAAUUGAACUCGCUGUGAAGAUGCAGUGUACCCGCGGCAAGACGGAAAGACCCCGUGAACCUUUACUAUAGCUUGACACUGAACAUUGAGCCUUGAUGUGUAGGAUAGGUGGGAGGCUUUGAAGUGUGGACGCCAGUCUGCAUGGAGCCGACCUUGAAAUACCACCCUUUAAUGUUUGAUGUUCUAACGUUGACCCGUAAUCCGGGUUGCGGACAGUGUCUGGUGGGUAGUUUGACUGGGGCGGUCUCCUCCUAAAGAGUAACGGAGGAGCACGAAGGUUGGCUAAUCCUGGUCGGACAUCAGGAGGUUAGUGCAAUGGCAUAAGCCAGCUUGACUGCGAGCGUGACGGCGCGAGCAGGUGCGAAAGCAGGUCAUAGUGAUCCGGUGGUUCUGAAUGGAAGGGCCAUCGCUCAACGGAUAAAAGGUACUCCGGGGAUAACAGGCUGAUACCGCCCAAGAGUUCAUAUCGACGGCGGUGUUUGGCACCUCGAUGUCGGCUCAUCACAUCCUGGGGCUGAAGUAGGUCCCAAGGGUAUGGCUGUUCGCCAUUUAAAGUGGUACGCGAGCUGGGUUUAGAACGUCGUGAGACAGUUCGGUCCCUAUCUGCCGUGGGCGCUGGAGAACUGAGGGGGGCUGCUCCUAGUACGAGAGGACCGGAGUGGACGCAUCACUGGUGUUCGGGUUGUCAUGCCAAUGGCACUGCCCGGUAGCUAAAUGCGGAAGAGAUAAGUGCUGAAAGCAUCUAAGCACGAAACUUGCCCCGAGAUGAGUUCUCCCUGACUCCUUGAGAGUCCUGAAGGAACGUUGAAGACGACGACGUUGAUAGGCCGGGUGUGUAAGCGCAGCGAUGCGUUGAGCUAACCGGUACUAAUGAACCGUGAGGCUUAACCUU